rnacentral:lncRNA from 1 species
AUAUAAUCAAACAUUAAUAAAAUAAAAUUAAAAUUUCAAAUAAAUUAUACAAGAAACACAAAGAAUUCCUAGAGAUCCUUUAAAGAAAUCAUAAAGAAAUAAUAUAGAAAUUAAAAAAUAUAUUCUAAAAUAGAAAUAUCAAUAAAAUAUUAAAAUAAAAACCUUAUUUAAAUCUUAGUCAAAACUUAAUCAAAUCUUAGUCAAAUCCUAGUCAAAUCCUAAAACAAUUCCAACCAAAUCCUAAAAAAAUCCUAAUAAAAUUCUAAACAAAUUGUAACCAAAUUCUAAAUAAAUCCUCAUCAAAUUUUGAAAAAAUUCUAACCAAAUUCUAAACAAACCUUAACCUAAUUCUAAAUACAUCUAAGUAAUUUCUAUAACAGAUUUAAAUCUCAAUAAUUAAUGAAUGAAUCAUUGAUUUUAAUUUAAAUUUUAUACACCUCUUAAAAAUUAAGUUGAAAAUAAGCACAAAUAUUUUGAAGAAGAUUGAACUCAUCAAAAAGAAGAUCAAUCCAAAAAUUUGCUCAGAUGUUAGAUGGCCUCCUUCUCAAAUUUGAAUGUUAAAUU